rnacentral:rRNA from 1 species
UGGGGAAUAUUGCACAAUGGGCGCAAGCCUGAUGCAGCGACGCCGCGUGAGGGAUGGAGGCCUUCGGGUUGUAAACCUCUUUCGCCAGUGAAGCAGGCCAUCUUCUUUGUGGGGUGGUUGACGGUAGCUGGAUAAGAAGCGCCGGCUAACUACGUGCCAGCAGCCGCGGUAAUACGUAGGGCGCGAGCGUUGUCCGGAAUUAUUGGGAGUAAAGAGCUCGUAGGCGGCUGGUCGCGUCUGUCGUGAAAUCCCCUGGCUUAACUGGGGGCUUGCGGUGGGUACGGGCCGGCUUGAGUGCGGUAGGGGAGACUGGAAUUCCUGGUGUAGCGGUGGAAUGCGCAGAUAUCAGGAGGAACACAGGUGGCGAAGGCGGGUCUCUGGGCCGUUACUGACGCUGAGGAGCGAAAGCGUGGGGAGCGAACAGG